UCCGUAGGCGGUGCGGCAAGUCGGAAGUGAAAUCUCAGGGCUUAACCCUGAGGCUGCUUCCGAAACUGCCGUGCUGGAGUGCGAGAGAGGCGAGUGGAAUUGCAGGUGUAGCGGUGAAAUGCGUAGAUAUCUGCAGGAACAUCCGAGGCGAAAGCGGCUCGCUGGAUCGCAACUGACGCUGAGGGACGAAAGCUAGGGGAGCAAACAGGAUUAGAUACCCUGGUAGUCCUAGCCCUAAACGAUCAGGACUGGGCGUGGGCCUCGUACGGGGCUCGUGCCGCAGCUAACGCGUUAAGUCCUGCGCCUGGGAGGUACGGUCGCAAGGCUGAA
rnacentral:rRNA from 1 species